rnacentral:sRNA from 1 species
GGUGCAGAGCACGCAGAGUCCUUCUGUCGGUUGGUCCUGGAGCGGCGCAGCCGGAGUGGGGCCGUGAGGAGAAUAAAGGCAGCCCCGUUGAUGACUGAAAAUGACAAAGCAUCCACCUAACAGACGAGGAAUCAGCUUUGAAGUGGGAGCCCAGUUGGAAGCCCGGGACCGUUUAAAAAACUGGUACUUUUACAUUUUUCUGUUAAUUAAAGCCCUUCAGUAAAGGAUUUUUGCCAGCACUGAUAGAGUGGUAGCUUAGGCUUUUUUUGUGGUGUUUUUCUACUUCCUGACUCUUGGAAGAUGUGAGGAAAUGUCAGUCUUUUCUCUUUGAUGCAGGGAUCCCAGUGUCAGGGUGACUGUCCUGUAACCCCCUGUAUAUAUUUGUUUCCCCCUUUUGCCUGUUCAUCUGAAAGAGUUCUGGGAAAAAGAAGCAGGAAUGGCUACAGGGAAGGGAAGAGUUAAUAGUGGCAGCUCUCUUGCUCUUGGCUGCCUGUCUGAAAAAAGAGGAAAGAUCAGGGAUGGAAUAGUGAAGAAAAAGGGGUUCGAUUGG